rnacentral:rRNA from 1 species
CAGCAGCCACGGGAAUACGAAGGGUGCAAGCGUUGCUCGGAAUUACUGGGCGUAAAGCGUGCGUAGGUGGUGGUUUAAGUCCGUUGUGAAAGCCCUGGGCUCAACCUGGGAAUUGCAGUGGAUACUGGGUCACUAGAGUGUGGUAGAGGAUAGUGGAAUUUCCGGUGUAGCAGUGAAAUGCGUAGAGAUCGGAAGGAACAUCUGUGGCGAAGGCGACUAUCUGGGCCAACACUGACACUGAGGCACAAAAGCGUGGGGAGCAAACAGGAUUAGAUACCCGGGUAGUCCCUGUCUCUUAUAC